rnacentral:rRNA from 1 species
CGGGGGGGCAAGCGUUGUUCGGAAUUACUGGGCGUAAAGGGCUCGUAGGCGGCCAACUAAGUCGGAUGUGAAAUCCCCAGGCUUAACCUGGGAACUGCAUCCGAUACUGGAUGGCUUGAAUCCGGGAGAGGGAUGCGGAAUUCCAGGUGUAGCGGUGAAAUGCGUAGAUAUCUGGAGGAACACCGGUGGCGAAGGCGGCAUCCUGGACCGGCAUUGACGCUGAGGAGCGAAAGCCAGGGGAGCAAACGGGAUUAGAUACCCCGGUAGUCCUGGCCCUAAACGAUGAAUGCUUGGUGUGACGGGUAUCGAUCCCUGUCGUGCCGAAGCUAACGCAUUAAGCAUUCCGCCUGGGGAGUACGGUCGCAAGGCUG